UGAAUUUUUUCGGAAGAAGCCAUAUUGACUUAGCGGCGGACGGGUGAGUAACGCGUGGGUAACCUGCCUCAUACAGGGGGAUAACAGUUAGAAAUGACUGCUAAUACCGCAUAAGCGCACGGGACUGCAUGGUCCAGUGUGAAAAACCGAGGUGGUAUGAGAUGGACCCGCGUCUGAUUAGCUGGUUGGCGGGGUAACGGCCCACCAAGGCGACGAUCAGUAGCCGACCUGAGAGGGUGGCCGGCCACAUUGGGACUGAGACACGGCCCAAACUCCUACGGGAGGCAGCAGUGGGGAAUAUUGCACAAUGGGGGAAACCCUGAUGCAGCAACGCCGCGUGAGUGAAGAAGUAUUUCGGUAUGUAAAGCUCUAUCAGCAGGGAAGAGAAUGACGGUACCUGACUAAGAAGCCCCGGCUAACUACGUGCCAGCAGCCGCGGUAAUACGUAGGGGGCGAGCGUUAUCCGGAUUUACUGGGUGUAAAGGGAGCGUAGACGGUUCUGCAAGUCUGAAGUGAAAGCCCGUGGCUUAACCGCGGAACGGCUUUGGAAACUGUGGAACUGGAGUGCUGGAGAGGCAAGCGGAAUUCCUAGUGUAGCGGUGAAAUGCGUAGAUAUUAGGAGGAACACCAGUGGCGAAGGCGGCUUGCUGGACAGUAACUGACGUUGAGGCUCGAAAGCGUGGGGAGCAAACAGGAUUAGAUACCCUGGUAGUCCACGCGGUAAACGAUGAAUGCUAGGUGUUGGGGAGCAAAGCUCUUCGGUGCCGCCGCAAACGCAGUAAGCAUUCCACCUGGGGAGUACGUUCGCAAGAAUGAAACUCAAAGGAAUUGACGGGGACCCGCACAAGCGGUGGAGCAUGUGGUUUAAU
rnacentral:rRNA from 1 species